CCUACGGGGGGCUGCAGUGGGGAAUAUUGGACAAUGGGCGAAAGCCUGAUCCAGCCAUGCCGCGUGUGUGAAGAAGGCCUUCGGGUUGUAAAGCACUUUCAGUGGGGAAGAAAGCCUUGGGGCUAAUACCCUCGAGGAAGGACAUCACCCACAGAAGAAGCACCGGCUAACUCCGUGCCAGCAACCGCGGUAAUACGGAGGGUGCGAGCGUUAAUCGGAAUUACUGGGCGUAAAGCGCGCGUAGGCGGUCUGAUAAGCCGGUUGUGAAAGCCCCGGGCUCAACCUGGGAACGGCAUCCGGAACUGUCAGGCUAGAGUGCAGGAGAGGAAGGUAGAAUUCCCGGUGUAGCGGUGAAAUGCGUAGAGAUCGGGAGGAAUACCAGUGGCGAAGGCGGCCUUCUGGACUGACACUGACGCUGAGGUGCGAAAGCGUGGGUAGCAAACAGGAUUAGAUACCCCGGUAGUC
rnacentral:rRNA from 1 species